UUACAUUGAAAUGAUUUUUGUGCAAAUCAUUAUAAUCUGAUUAGGUUUUAUUUAUUUAUUAUUUAUUUAUUUUCUUAUUAUUUUAUUAAAAAUAAUUGUAGAAAUUAAUUUCUAGUAUCUUAUAGAGAAAAAAUAAAUUUAAUUAUAGUUAAUUAGUAUUGUGAAAGAACAUUGAAAUAUUUGAAAAAUAUUUAUUGAAAAAGAAGAUUAUUAUCGUACCUUGUGUAUCAGGGUUUUUCAACUAAAAAUCAUAUAUUUGAUUUUCCCGAUUUCAAAAGAGCUAAUGGAGUUUAAAAGUUGUUGUGAUAAAACUAUUUUUUAAGCCUCAUUUGAAAUGAAAUGUUAUUCGUUUUUGAAGGUAUCUGGUUUUUCUAGAAAUAAAUUUAAUUUACAACUUUUAUAUAUUUUUCAUCCUUUUUAUGAAAAAUUUUAUGUAAGUUGAAUAAUUUAGGGGAUAAGCUCUAAAUUAAAAAAUUAUUAGUCGUAAAGAAUUUUGAAAAAGUAUGCUUAGAAUUAGCAAUCUUUAAUAAGUUUGUUAUAAAUUAUUUAUGUAAAAAAUUAUUUACUUUUCUCUAAGUUUUUAUAGAAAUUAUCUUUUUAAUAAUAAAGAGGAUUUAAUUAUGAAAAAAUUAGUAUACUAUAAUGUAUUUAAUAUAUUUAAAUGAAAAGUUUUAGUAAAGAACUCGGCAAAAUAAUAUCCGCCUGUUUAACAAAAACAUGUCUUUUUGAGUUUUAUUUAAAGUCUGACCUGCCCACUGAUUUAUUAAAUGGCCGCAGUAUACUAACUGUGCAAAGGUAGCAUAAUAAUUAGUCUUUUAAUUGAAGGCUGGAAUGAAUGGUCGGACGAGAUAUUAACUGUUUCAUUAAAAAUUUAUAUAGAAUUUUAUUUUUUAGUCAAAAAGCUAAAAUAAUUUUAAAAGACGAGAAGACCCUAUAAAGCUUUAUAGUUUUAUCUAAAAAGAUAACAAGAUUCAUUUAUCUUUAAAGUGAAAAACUAUUUUAUUGGGGUGAUAUUAAAAUUUAACUAACUUUUAAUUUUUAAGACCAUUAAUUUAUGAAAAAUUGAUCCACUAUUUGUGAUUAGAAAUUCAAGUUACUUUAGGGAUAACAGCGUAAUUUUUUUGGAGAGUUCAUAUCGAUAAAAAAGAUUGCGACCUCGAUGUUGGAUUAAGGAAUAAGUUUAGGCGCAGCCGUUUAAAUGAUAAGUCUGUUCGACUUUUAAACCCUUACAUGAUCUGAGUUCA
rnacentral:rRNA from 1 species